GCCGAGCUCAGUUGCGUGAGCUUGUAACCCGAGUGGAGGCAAUAAAGUGAUGUGGAUGCUGUUGUAGUGCUGCGGGCCUGGUCUAGUUGUGCUACCGCUGGCCCGCCUGUACCAAGUUGAGUAGUGGACCGCUUGAGGCCUAUGCGAAAGCUGGGCCUCACGGUUCAUAAUGUGGCAGCCACAGUGUGAGGCUGGCUUCACAGAGUAGCGACAACUGCCUCCUUCCAACGGUGGAAGGAUAACGGGCCGCUACACUCCUAGACUUGGGCCUCAGCAGCCUACUCUAGCGAACCAUCACUUUU
rnacentral:SRP_RNA from 2 species